CUACGUGCCAGCAGCCGCGGUAAUACGUAGGUGGCAAGCGUUGUCCGGAUUUAUUGGGCGUAAAGCGAGCGCAGGCGGUUCCUUAAGUCUGAUGUGAAAGCCCCCGGCUCAACCGGGGAGGGUCAUUGGAAACUGGGGAACUUGAGUGCAGAAGAGGAGAGUGGAAUUCCAUGUGUAGCGGUGAAAUGCGUAGAUAUAUGGAGGAACACCAGUGGCGAAGGCGACUCUCUGGUCUGUAACUGACGCUGAGGCUCGAAAGCGUGGGUAGCAAACAGGAUUAGAUACCCUGGUAGUCCACGCCGUAAACGAUGAGUGCUAAGUGUUGGAGGGUUUCCGCCCUUCAGUGCUGCAGUUAACGCAUUAAGCACUCCGCCUGGGGAGUACGACCGCAAGGUUGAAACUCAAAGGAAUUGACGGGGGCCCGCACAAGCGGUGGAGCAUGUGGUUUAAUUCGAAGCAACGCGAAGAACCUUACCAGGUCUUGACAUCCCUCUGACCUCUCUAGAGAUAGAGAUUUC
rnacentral:rRNA from 1 species